rnacentral:lncRNA from 1 species
ACCCAGCAGAGUGAGAGGGAGAGAUCCAGGGGAACAGGAAAUGACAGGCGACUGGCCUCGGCUGGGCAGUGGGAAUGAGAAGGUGUUCCACCCCUGCCUAAAGGCCGGAGAUUGUCUCAGCUGACGUCUUUGAGUAUUUGAUCCAUACAGCAAUAGAGGGGUGAGAAACAAGGGGAGAAGUCUCUGCCACCCUGUUCCCAGGAGGAGAGGAGGGCAGGAGAGCGACUAUAGGUGAGAAAAUGACUUGUGAUCUGGAUAGCACGGAUGGCUAGAUUCCCAACACUUGACCUUCCCAGAACAGCGGUUCUCAAGUGUCCCUGCCCGCUGAAGCUGAGAAAUAAACUUCUCGUUAGCCUGGGUGAACAUCGAACAUUGUGGGGAAAUUACAAUAGCAGCAGCUACCGUUGGGUAAACAUCUACUGGUUUAGGCACCAAGCUUCGAGGUUUAGGUGGAUUUUCAUUUUAUACUUUUAAAAAUCCUCUGAGAUAAGCAUCAAAGGCAUUCCAAUAAGACUCAGAAAAAAAUUACUAUAGGAAAGAAGAAGUGAACCCCAGGUGUCCACAUAUAACUGAAUGUUAUAUGAAUACAAAAUCCUGAAACUGAAAAAUGAAAACAUCCUAAAAGGUCUGAGGUGUAGUGCGGCUGCUUGGAGCCAAAUGAGACCUUUGGACCAACAUAAUUUGUUAUAAGUAGAUUUAAAAAAACAACAACAAACAAACAGACUUCUGUGUGCGUUCCAUGUAAUGCAUUAUGUAGCAUCAUUAUCUGUGUUUUCAAUCAAUAUUUAUAGGAAUUCAACAUUAUAAAAUUUUCACAUGACAUUAUGUUUUAGAGGAAGAAAUGUAAGAUCAGAUAGGUGGAGAAUCUGCCCAGGAUCACACAACUUGUCAAUAAGAUAUACCUCAGUGAUGGAAUGACUAAUGUUGGAUGUGUAUGUUCCAAUGGUGUCCUAAGAUCAAAUGUCUUUGGGAGUCAUUAGAGUGUGAUGUCACCACUUCAUGUCACACAAUGGGUGCAUUGUGAUAGAUCCAAGUCAGUAUACAUACACGCCUCCAGUGGUAAGAGUUCACAGAUUAAUGUUAGAAGCUGGUCUGGCUGUCUUUGGCUUUCCCCCUUUAAACUAGUAAAAAUACCAUAUCAUGAAGGGAUUGUGGAGCUCUCUAGUCCAGCCCCAUACCAUACGUAGUCCCAGAGGGGUUGGGUGACUUGCCCAAGGUCACACAGCUGGAUAAAAGAAAACCACACAACACCCCAGGUGCAGCAGCAAAUCUGUGUCUGCUUCCUCUCUGCUUCUCUAGAAUGCCUCUUUGCCACUACAGAGUUUCAGGAGUUCAAGCCUCUUUGGCAGAGGAGGUUGGGUUUGGUUUUUCUCAAGCUCCUUAACAGGUUACAGGCGAGAUUUUACUCUGGAACUGAAAGUAGAAAUUUAUUUCGUUUGGUAGAAGACAUGGUUGUCUCACCCCAAUAAAUUAGGAUCUUCUUGUCCCACCAAAAAUAAAUAAAUUAAUUAAAUAAUUAUUUUACAGGGCUUGAAAGAAUAACAAAGAAAAAACAGGCAUGUGAGUUUUCUGAUCCUGGAUGGACGUUUUCCAGAAAAGGAAACUAAAUCUUCAUUGAUCCAUAGGAAGAAGGAAGCUCUCAGCCCCGUGAUGUCGUGGCACAAAGUCAGAGGCUUGGAGACCUCAACUCACUCAGGUGUGCAGCCAGACUCCUUGUCUCUUGUCCAACUCUCCCAUCAGUGUGUCAGUAAAGUCGCUCUUCUGGGUUCCUAGAGGCUAUGUGUAGGGCUGGUAAGACUCUACCAUAACUCAUAUACUUGGACAGGACGGGGGUGAUAAUGUGGACCUCUGGCAUCCUGGUCAUAGCUGAGGGGCAACAGGGAGCAAGGGGCAAUCUCAUCCAGAAAUGGACAAUGGAUAAUCCAGACAAAUACAAAGCUCUUUUAGAGGCAAUCAUGGUAUAUCAGUUAGCCUCUGCGGUGGCAUAACAAACCACUCCAAAAUUUAGAGGCUAGAUUUAUUUAACUCUUUAUUUAGCUCAUGAUUCCUCGAAUUAGCAAUUUGAGUUGGGCUCAGCUGGGUGAGGCUUUUGGUCCCGGCAAGAUCACUCCCAGAUCUUUGGCCCGCUGCUGGAUUUGCUGGGUCUGGCUGAUCUAGGGUGGCUCAUCUUAGCUGGUGAGCCUCUGCUCCAUGUGGUCUCUCGUUCUUAGCAGGACAGCCUGGCCUUUACACCUUGUAGUUGUAGGAUCCCAAAACAAGCAGAAGUCACUGCCAUCAUAUUCCAAUGGCUAAAACACACCAUAAGGUCAGUCCUGACUGAAGGACUGGAAAUAAUCCCCAGCUCUUGAUGGGAGAGACUACAAAGUCAUAUUGCUAAGAAGCAUAAAUAUAGAGAGGGGAGAAGGAUCGUCACCAGGUUUGCAAGUGAUCUUCCCUGAGAUCCAUUCUAACUCUUCUAGGAACAAAGUAAGAGCUUCAGAAAAAGAAAAAAAAAAAAAUGAACAGUCCAUCCAAGUAAGGUUUUGUGGCAGUAGCUUGCUGCAUACCUACUAUGCUCAAACCUUAAGCAGCCACAGUGGGUAGACCCAUAAGCAGUGGCAAGCCAGAGCCUCCUAGCACUGCCUCAUGAGAGCCAGCUGUUAGAUAUUCAGCAAUUUCAUGAGUUGGUUGCUAAACCAUCAGAGCUUGAAAGUGACCACGGUGGGAAUAUUUACACCCUGGGGCUGGGCAAGCACUGCAAAACAGGUGCUUCUUCUCCCAGAGAGCUGGUUACCAGCACCCCACUGCCUGUAGGCCAGACAAACACUACCUUCUCCAAUCUAGUAAGACAAACAGGCAGACAAGAACGAUUGCAAAGCAGCAAUCAGACAAGAUAACUUUAAUAUAUGAAGUAAACUGAGGGCCUGAAAAUUUUGAAGACAAAAGAAUUCAUAGUUCCCAGGAGGUAGAAAUUAGGGAUGGCAUCAAGGAGAAGGGGGUCUUUGUAGCUGGGCUUUGAAGGAAAAAUAAGGAUUGCCAUGACCAGAGAGAGGUACAGCUAACGCUGGAGGGAACAGCACAGAGUCAGAGGCACCUUCUGAGAGCAGCAGCCAGCCUGGCAGGAACGGCUGUGACUGCAGGUAUUUUGUUUAGUAUCAGUUUGACUUUAAAUGACAGAAAACCCCCAAUAACAGUGACUUAAAAGAGUCAGCUUUUUUUUUUUGGAGGGAGGGGUGGGGUGUUUGAUUGAUUUGUAUCCAGAGCCCUGCAUCCAUGUGCUAACCAGGCCCGAUCCUGCUUGGCUUCGAGAUCAGGCACACAUAGAGUGGUGUGGCCACGACAGCAAGUCCAGCUUCAUCCUCUCCCCACAAGAAAUCCUGGAAAAUACCCGGGCUAUCACAGGUGUGGUGGCUCUGCCCUCUACCCUCUACCCAGCCUUCAUAUCAUCCCUUGCUCUAGAAUCUAGAGAACAGGUGCAUGAUCUUGUCUCCUUCUGGGGUACAGCAGCCCCAAAGUUGACACCUAGCUCCCCAACUCUCUGUGUGAGCUUGAACAAAUUGCGUAAUCUUUGGGAAUCAUGGUUUCCCACAUAGGAAAAUGAGCAAAGUAACUCUCAGGCUUUAGGGAACGAUCCUAUGCAGAAUUUGACCCUAGAUAGGCAAUCAGGGGAAAUGGGGUGAUGGGGUAGUGUGUGUGUGCACGCACAUGCGUGUGCACACACACACACACACACACACAAGGUGAGCACCUGCUUCACAUGGGAGGUGAAAGAGAUUCUUUCCAAGCCCUGGCCAAAGCCCCUCUCAGCCUCCAUUUGUCUGCUCUGAGAAAGCUGCUCUAUGACAGCUUUGGUGGAAAGGGGGCCCAGGGAGCCUAAUCCUUGUGGAAUUUGAUUCUACGUGGGCAGCUGUGACCACUGGACCUUGACCACUUCAGACCAACUUUGCUGAUGUAGCCACGUCAAACACAGAGUCCGUGGAGGUAACUGUCCCAGCUCCCAGCCUGCCCACCCCCCACACCCACAGCUGGGACGAGGCAGUCACACCUGCCUGGAAAGGGCCGCUUUGGGAAGUGAUGCCCAUCCGUCCAGAAUCAAGGGGCAGUGCUGUUGCAGCUGGGGAAGGGGUGAGGACAGGAAGUUCACUGGGUCAGAGUUCCAAGCAAAUAUUUAGCAGAUCAAUGUUCAAGGUUGACCUUGAGUGUUCAUCCCUGGGUCAUCAGGAAGUGGCUUCCUGCCACUCUCACCCGCAUCUCCCCUUCUCUGCAGCCAUCAGGGACAGGACUUUCCUGGCUGGGGUUAGGGGCCCAUUUAUCCUACUAGCCCCUGGCCUAGAGCUGCCUGGCUUGCCCUCUAACCCUGGGUAGUCCUAGGACUCAAGAUUUUUCCCCAGAGAAAGCAUCAAGAAGAAGCCAGGCCAGGCACAGUGGUGCACACCUGUAAUCCCAGCAGUUCAGGAGGCCGAGGCAGGAGGAUCGUGAGUUCAAAGCCAGCCUCAGCAACUUAUCGAGGCCCUAAACAACUUAGUGAGACCUUGUCUCUAAAUACAAUCUAAAAAAGGGCUGGGGAUGUGACUCAGUGAUUAAGUGCCCCUGAGUUCAAUCCCCAGUACCAAAAAAAGAAAAAGAAGCAGCAGCCAGCCUCCAUGUAGGGGAGUUUCUGGCUUUGUGAAGUCCCCUCCCGGUGAAAGACUACCUCCUUGGUUGUCUCCCCUCAACCACGCUGGGCACACAUCAUGCCCCCAUCCAUGCUGAAGACAUCUCUUUCCCAGGUUCCUGUGUCAGAGAGCCUUAGAGGGAAGUGGGGGGUUGGACCCGAGCUCCACUGUGUCUAGAGAGGGAACUUCCCCUUCUGAGAAAGCAGCCACUGUUGCCCAGAGCCGAGAGCGAAACAGCACCUCUCUGAGCACUUUGUUCCACUUGCCGGAGGGCUAAAAAUAUACUGGCACUGCCAAACGCCAUCCUCUAGAGCCCAGGGGAGCUGGCAGAGUAGAAUAGUUAUCCUAGCACCUGGCACUAUUAAAAGGAGCAGGCAGAAUUAGCCAGGCUUCUAGGUGCCUCCUGCACACUUUGUCCCCAAAGACACUGCAUUUUGUCUGUUCUUCUUGCAGUGGGCUGGGUUUCCCUGCACCCUUGCCCACCCUGCUUCCUCUCUCUUUCCCCAGGCCGGACCCCAUUCACCCCUAGUGGGAGCCUGGGGCAUCUGUGUAAAUGUGCAUUUACAGUUGUCAAAUGGCAGCUCUGCUGCAAAACACAGCGGGAGCUUCCAAUUCCUCCAGCAAAGCCACAAUUAGCAGCAGGCUAAAAACGAACAUCCCCGUAGUGGGCCAUAACCCAGUGGCUUACAUUCAACAAACUGGCAUCCACACCCUGUUUCAAUCAGUCUUUCCAGGACCCCAAGCCUCUUUGACAGUUUGUUGGAAACUAUGCUCCCAGAAAAAAAAAUUGUUCCUGAGCCACAUUCACCCGGCAAUUUUAAGGAGUUUGUGGAUACCAGCAACCCCACCAAAGACAACACACCACACUCUGGAAAUCAGGCACUGAACUAGAUCCUGAGAUGGAAAGAUGAAUAAGGAAGGGACUAGGAUUGGGGGUGCAGCUCAGUGGUAGAGCACUUGUGUAGCAUGCACGAGGCCCUGAGUUCCAUCCUCAGCACCCCAAAUAUAAAUAUGCAUAUGAGAGAGACUGUGAUGCAAAUAAUACCAUGAGUGGAGGAGAGGUGGGGACCAUGGAUUAGGGGUUGGGAGGGUGGUUAUAUGGCAUAUAGGGAAAAGGGGACAUUUUGAUGGAAUUUUAAAGGAGAAACAGAGAAAAGGUAAGGUUGGAGACCUUGUGUACAUAGAAUUUGUGUUCACAGCAGGGCAUGAAGAAGAAAACUCAUUCAGAAGCAGGGGCAGUCUGACGAAGGAUAUGAAGGGUAAGUGUAUGCGUUUCUUCUCGGUGUGUAACAACCCAACACAAAUGCAGAGGCUGAAAAUAACACACACGCAUUAUUUCAGCUUUGGUGGGUCAGGGUCUGGGCGCGACUGGCUGGGUUCCCUGCUCAGGGACUCUCCAGGCUACACAAGGUGUCAGCUGGGGUUAUGAUUUUGUCUGAGGCUUGACAAGGAAGAAUCUUCUUCCAAGUUCAUUCAGAUUUUUCCCAGGAUUCAUUUCCUCACCCCAGCUAUUGGCUAGAGGCUGCCUUCAGCUCCUAGGACCGUCUGCGGCUCCCCGCCAUGUCCUCUCCAUAGGCAAUUUACAACAUGGCUGUUUUUUUCAAGGGUGGCAGAAUCUUGAUAAAGUCGGAUAAAACAGAAUUUUAUACAUAGAAGGUGGGAAUGCCAUAUUCUUGCUUCUUGCUGGAAGCAAGCCACCGAAUUUACCCUCUCUUAAGAGGAGGGGGUCAUUCGGAGGUAACACCAACAUCAUGGUGCCAUCUUGGAAUUCUGUCCACCCCAGCAAAUUCUGUCCCAGGUUUAGCUGAGAAAAGGGUUGGAGAGAGUUGUGACUACCCUUGUAUUGUGUAUAGUUGGGAGUUUGAACAGUAUCCUAUUGAAAACAGGAAACACUGAAAGGGAAUGGAGAAGGAAUGAUGAGAGUGGGGGCAAAAAGCCAAUGGGAAGGAAGUGCCAGGGUUCAGGGGAGAAAUAGUGAUGGGCUGUGGCCAUGGGAUGCAGAAGAAAGGCCCAAUAUCUGCCUGGCUGACCUGUGUUUCCUUUUGAUCUCCACUCAGAUGUCACCUGAUCAGCAGCUCUGGAGGCUGAGGCAGGAGGAUCUUGAAUUCAAAGCCAGCCUCAUCAAAAGCGAGGCACUAAGCAACUCAGUGAGACUCUGUCUCUGAAUAAAAUACAAAAUAGGGCUGGGGAUGUGGCUCAGUGGUCAAGUGCCCCUGAGUUCAAUCCCGGAUACCCCCCCCUAAAAAAGUCACCUGAACAGUAAGGCUCUCCCCAUCUACACAACAUAAAAGAGCCACCCACUCCUCUCUCUCCACCCCUCCCCCACCUUAUUGUCAGAGCACUUAUCAUCAUGGGCCUUACUAUGUGUUUCUUUUCUUUUAAUCAACUUAUUUUCUUUCUCUCCUUAUAGACUUCAAGAGUUUUUUCAGCUUGCUGAUAUAUCUUCAGCCUCCAGAACAGUGCCUAGGAUAUCAAAUAUAUUCAAUGAAUGUUUGCUGACUGAAUCAAUCAAUCAAUCAAUCAAUCAAUGUGUUCCAAAGAUGUUCUGGCAUUGGACUUGCUAGGACUUCAUACAAGAGAGAUGCAUUAGCAAUGCUCCAAGGUUUCUGCCUUGACAGAUUUUUAAAAAAAUAUAUUAGAGCCAGGCAUGGUGGUGCAAGCCUGUAAUCCCAGCGUUUUGGGAGGCUGAGACAGAAGAAUCUUGAGUUCAAAGCCAACCUCAGCAAAAGCGAGGCACUAAGCAACUCAGUGAGACCCUGUCUAUAAAUAAAAUAGAAAAUAGGACUGGGGAUAUGGCUCAGAGGUGGAGUGCCCCUGAGUUCAAUCUUUAGUACCAAAACAAACAAAAAACAAAACAAAACAAAACAAAAUAUAUAUAUAUAUAUAUAUAUAUAUAUAUAUAUAUAUAUAUAUAUAUAUAUAUUGGAGCCAGGCACAGUGGCACAUGCCUGUAACCUCAUUGAUUCAGGAGGCUAAGGCAGGAGGAUUGCAAGUUUCAGGCCAGCCUCAGCAAUUUAGUGAGACCCUGUCUCAAAAUAAAAAUAAAAAGGGCUAGGAAUAUGUCUCAAUGGUAAAGUGCCUCUGAGUUCAAUCCCCAGAACAAUCAAUCAAUCGAUCUAUAUCAAUGUCAACAUAUAUGUAUAUAUGUGUUGUGUGAGUGUGUGUGUGUGUGUGUGUGUGUAUAAGCCUGUAUAUUAGAGUACAUAGACACACUGAGACAUAUCAAUACCUAUAUACAAUGUAUAAGGAUAAGAUGAGGGUAACUGGCAUUUCCAUCAUCAUGAACAUAUAUCAUUUCUUUGUGUUUAGAACAUUCAAAAUCUUCUCUACUGGCUAAUUUGAAAUAUUCAAUUGCCAACCAUAGUUAUCCUACUGUGCUAUAGAAUAUUACAAGUUAUUCCCCCUUCCAAGUGCACCCUUGUACCACUAACCAUCUUUUCUUCAUUCCUCCUCCCCCACACAUUUCCCAGGCUCUGAUAACCACUACUUUACUCUCUACUUUUUGGAGAUCAAUUUUUUGGUUUCCAAAUAUCAAUGAGAACACAUGGUAUUUGUUUUUCUGUGCCUGAUUUAUUUCACUUGACAAAAUGUCAUCCAGUUCCUUCUAUUUUGCUGCAAAUGAUGGAAUUUUGUUGCUUUUUACAGAUGAAUAAUAUUCCACUAUGUUUAUAGACCACAUUUUCUUUAUCCAUUCAUUCAUUGACGGCACCUAGGUUGGUUCCACCUCUUGACAGUUGUGAAUAGUGCUGCAAUAAACACAUGAGUGCACAGGUCUCUUCCACAUUAUGAUUUCAAUUUUCUUGAAUAUAUACCCAGUAGUGAGAUGGCUAGAUCAUAUGGGAUUUCUAUUUCUAGUUUUCAGAGGGUGCUCCAUACUCUUUUCCAUAGCAGUUAUACUAAUUUACAUUUCCACCAACAGUGUAUGAGAAUUCCCCUUUCUCUGCAUCCUCACCAGCAUCUGUAAUUUUUUUGUCUUUUGUUUUUCUUUCUUUUGUACUAAGGAAUGAGUCCAUGGUGUCUUACCACUGAGCUACAUCCCCAGUCCAUUUUUUAAAAUAUUUUUUAGUUGUCAAUGAACCUUUGUUUUACUUAUUUAUAUGCAGUGCUGAGAAUCAAACCCAGUGCCUCACACGUGCUAGGCAAGCGCUCUACCACUGAGCCACAACCCCGGCCCCAUAGCCCUUUUUUUUGUUUUUGAGACAGGGUCUCACCUAAGUUACUGAGGGUCCUACUAAAUUGCCCAGGCUGGCCUUGAAUGUGCACUCCUGCCUCAGCCUCCCUACUCACUGGGAUUCAGGGGCAUGCCACCAUGCCUGGCAUUUUGUUUUGGUUUGGUUUGGUUUUUUGUCUUUUUGCCAAUAGCCAUUCUAACUGGGGCAAGGUGAUCUCUCGUUGUGGUUUGGGUUUACAUUUCCCUGAUGAUUAGCAAUGUUGAGAAUUUUUUCAUAUGUGUAUUGACCAUUCAUAUAUCCUCUUGAGAAAUGACUAGUCAGGUCAUUCACCCAUGUUUAAUUGGAUUAUUCAGCUUUUUGGUGGUGGGUUGUUGAGUUUCUUAUAUAUUCUAGAACUUAAUCCCUUGUCAGAUAAAUAGUUAGCAAACAUCAUCUCCCAUUCCACAAGUUGUCUCUUUACUCUGUCUACGAUUUCCUUUGCUGUAAUGACACUUUUGUUUUGUUUUGUUUGUUUUGGGUACCAGGGGUUGAACUCAGGGACACUCCACUUCUGAGCCACAUCCCCAGCUCUAUUUUGUAUUUUAUUUAGAGACAGGGUCUCACUGAGCUGCUUAGUGCCUCACUUUUGCUGAGGCUGGCUUUGAACUCUCAAUGUUCCUACCUCAGCCUCCUGAGCCACUGGGAUUACAGGCGUGUGCCACCACAUCCAGCUUGUAAUGACACUUUAUAAUUUGAUGUAAUCCAUUUGUCUAUUUUUGCCUCUGUUGCCUAUGCUUUUGAGGCCACAUCCAAAAAAAAAUCAGACCAAUACCUUGUAGUGUUUUCCCUGCAUUUUCUCCUAUUAGUUUCAUAGUUUGGGGUCAUAUGUUUAAGCUUUUAACUCAUUUUGAGUUGAUUUUUUGUGUAUGGUGAGAGAUGGGGUUCUAAUUUCUUUUCUCUGUUUAUGGAUAUCCAAUUUUCCAGACCCACUUAUGGGAAAAAAUUGUCCUUACCAUACACUAUGGCACAUGCCUAUAAUCCUAAGUACUUGGGAGGCAAAUGCAAGAGGAUCACAAGUUCAAGGACAGCCUCAGCAAGAUCUCAUCUCAAAAAAAAUUUAAAAGGGCUGGGGUUGUAGCUCAGUAGUGAGCACCCCUGGGUUCAAUCCCUAGUACCCACCCCCCCCCCAAAAAAAAAGGAAGGAAGGAAAUAUUCUAUUUUAAAAAUAUUUUUAGUUGUAGAUGGUCACAAUACCUUUAUUUUGUCUAUUUAGUAUUUUUAUGUGGUGUUGGGGAUUGAACCCAGUGCUUAAUGCAUGCUAGGCAAGCACUCUACCACUGAGGCACAAUCCCAGCCCUAUUAUUUCUGUAAUCUAUGUGUUUGAUGUCUUCACUGAUAAUCAGUUGACUACAGAGGUGUAGAUUUAUCUCUGGGUUUUCUAUUCUGUUCCAUUGGUCUAUGUGUUCAUUUUUACAUCUGUACCCUGCUGCUUUGUUUAUUAUUGCUUUGGAAUAUGCUUUGAAGUCAGAUAUUGUAAUGCUUACUAUUUUGUUCCUUUUGAUACAGGAUCACUUUCUCUAUUGGGAGUCUUUUGUGGUUCUACAUAAAUUUUAGGAGUUUUUUUUUUUUCCUUUUCUAUUUCUGUGAAGAAUGCCAUUGGUAUUUUGAUAGGAAUUGUAAUCAAUUGGUAGAUUGGUUUGGUUCUGUGACCCAUAGAAUAGUGCUUCUCAGUGAUGUGGAAGGAACAGGGCAUCAGAGAAAGCACAUAACAAGUUGAACUUGGUCAAGUGGAUCUGAGAUGGAUGGUGAUCGGGUUAUGUCAUGGGACGGUAGAAAUGUGAGUUUCAGAGCUCAUGAGAUAAGAAAAAGGGUCAUGGAUUACAUAAGGGAUAGAGGAAGUCGUGGGGUUAAGUAAUAAGAGACCCAAGGGGUGCUCCCUGGAAAAGAAGAAAGAGCCAAUGUCAGAAGAAGAUGCAGGGGUGUCUGGAAAAGGGCUCCAAGAAUGAAGGCAGGUCCUCUUCAAUGCUACUGAGAGCUGAAGAAACAAGAUUAGAAUUGGAACGCUUUAGAGACUGAAGUUUACUGGUGGCAACAAGAGCAAGGGAUCAGAGUUUUCCAGAUCCACAAGAUAUUGAAAGACGUCAAUCACUUUCUCUGAGAAGGAGUUGUGAUUGAUGGUAAAGGAGAAAGAAGAGGGUGGUCCUAAGAGUGCAGGAAGUUAGGCAUGGUGCACACUUGUAAUCCCAGCAGCUGGGGAGGCUGAGGCAGGAAAAGCACAAGUUCAAGGCCAGCCUCAGUGACUUCACAAGGCUGUAAGCCAAUUUAUCGAGACCCUGUCUCAAAUUUUAAAAAAGGGUUGGGGAUAGUAGCUCAGUGGUAAAACACCCCUGGAUUCAGAGAUGGACAAAAGUUGCCGUCUAACAGUAUAGACCCAGUAAACUCACCCUCAUCCACAGCAGAUACAGUCCAGGACCCCCAAUAGACAUAUGCCUGAAAUCACAGACAGUACCCACCCUAUAUAAACUGUGUUUUGUUCUGUUUUGUUUUUGUGGUACCAGAGAUGGAACUCUGACUGCUCUACCACGAAGCUACAUCCCCAGCCCUUUGUGGGUUGUUUUUGUUGUUGUUGUUGUUGUUGUUUUUGAGAUAGUAUCUCACUAAGUUACCAAGGCUGGCCUUGAACUUGUGAUCCUCCUGCCUGUGCCUCCUGAGUCACUAGGCUUAUGGGUAUAUACCACCACACCUGGCUCUGUUGUUUCUUAUACAUAUAUACCAACGAUACAAUUUGAUUUAUAAAUUAGACAUGGUAAGAAAUAAUUAACAAACACUAAUGAUGGAAAAGAACAUUAUGAUGACAUACUAUAGUAAAAUUGCCUGCAUUACUACUCUGGCACAUUGGGGCCAUUAUUAAGUAAAAUAAGGAUUACUUGAACACAGUGUUGCAAUACUACAAUAAGUGAUCUGAUUACUGAGAGGGCUACUAAGUGACUAAUGGGAAGGUGGAAUAUUUAGCAUGGAUCCACUGGACAAAAGGAUGUUUAUCCCACGUGUGACAGAGCAGAUGGCAUGAGAUUUUAUUAUGCUACUCAGAAGGAUGCUCAAUUUAGAGCUGGGCGUGGUGGUGCACACUUAUAAUCCCAAUGGUUUGGGAGGCUGAGGCAAGAGGAUCCCAAGUUCAAAGCCAGGCUCAGCAACUUAGAGAGGCCCUAAGCAAUUCAGCAAGACCCUGUCUAAAUUAAAAAAAAAAAAAAUUAAGUGGGGGGGGGGGGCGGGCUGAAGAUGUGGCUCAGUAGUUAAGCACCCCUGGGUUCAACCCCUCCUACCAAAAAAAAAAAAAGAAGAAGAAUGAUGCUCAAUUUAAAAUGUAUGACUUGUUUAUUUCUGGAAUCCAUUUACUCUUUUCUUACCAGACUUGACUGUAGGUAGCUGAAAAUGCAGAAAGAAAAGCCAUAGAUAAGGGAGGAAUACUGUUCUCUUUCCUGCUUUGCCCCAACCUUUCCACUGGUGGGACAGCAGGGAAGAGACUUGGGCAGAGAGCAUUUCUGGGUUCUUUGAACGGAUUCAGUCUUAAUCUUGUCCUCGCUGUCAAAAGAAGCUUAAAUGGAAUACUCAGCAGGAAGUUCCGGAUUGCAGAGGUGGGAUCCUGGUUUCCCUCCUGUGCUCCAGGAUUGAAACCCAUUGAGGCCUGUGGCAGGUGACAUUGUCCAGAACUGCUACAACCGCCCAUCCCACUUGCUUUUGUACCAUACAACAAGGUACCCCCCACAGAGAGGUGGAAUCUGUGUCCCUCCACCCUAAACCUGGGACCAUCUCAGCUGGUAGAGUCUGCUAUAAAUGUUGGGUGACUGCAGUCUCAUGGUUCGACCUCUCAGACAAGACCAUGAAAUUUUUACAGGUCUCUCUCUUUCAGGGCAUGUGCCUUUGAAACCCCGAGACACCAUGUUAACAAGACUGGUUAUCCUAAAGCCACCAUACAGAGAGGCCCCCAGCCCUAGCCUCAGCAGAGCUCCCAGCUAACACUUCCUGGCCACAUACUCUGCCUCAUUUUCUGGAGGCUCCCCAAGGUCCUGCCCUCUCAACCCUGUUCUGUAUCCACAGGAAAGCAGGCUUUAUGCCCCCAUGCCCACCCACUCGGGGCCCAGAGGAAGUGAUAAACAAGCAGCACCCCCACCCAGCAGAGUCUCCACUGUCAGAAGGCCCUAAUGGUGGCUGGCACAGGUCACCCACCCAGCAACCAUCUCCUCACCCACCCACUCCAGGAAACGUGGAAAAUCCAGAGACCAUCCUAGGCCAGCUGUACUCCAGGAAGAAACUGGGCAAGCUGCCCAGAAUGACACAAAGUGGACUUUGGGCUGAUUGCCCAAGUUGAACUAAUGCCCUCACCUUCUUCUAAAGGGUACUCUCUGCAGAACCAAGGCCACAGCCUGUCAUGAAAGCAGAUGUUGACAGAGCAGGACAGAUGGGGUACGAGGGUCCCUUGGGAUAUGCGAAGCACAUCUCUGAUACUCACCACCCCAUCAGUACUGAUCAGAGUAAGUGGGGGAGGAGAAAAAGACCCCAACAUGUCGAGUAGUAAUGCCACCAUCAUGAAUUGGGAGCAGCCCAGCUGCUUCUGAGGGUGGAGCGCUAAGACACCUGGAUUCAUCCCUGCUCUCAGGCGGUGGGGAUGAGAACACUUGGGAAGCUCAAUGAGGUGGGACUUCCUUAAAGCAAAACAGCAGUAAAAAUCAGGAAAAAAAAAUAUUUCAUAUCCAGUAUUUGUGUUAGGCUAUAUGCUACCUAGACCCCCCCACCCCACAAGGCAUUUAAGGUAGGAUUUGAUUUACUAUUUUUUAUUCUCAGUUACUCAGUCUUUCAAUAAAUACUUAUGGAGCACCUUAUGCGCUAAACACCACAAGCAAAAAACAUAUUUUCAUAAAUACAUGUGUGAAUAUAAGCAAAGGAUAUCUCUAAAACAGUCGUUCUCCAUCAAGCCUCCCUCUUCCCAGGAGACAUCUGUCAAUGUUUGGAGACAUUUCCAGGUGUCAUAACUGGGAGGUGCUACUAGUAUCUAGUGGGGAGAGGCCAGGGAUGCUGCCUUGCACAGGACACCCCGUGACAAAGCAUUGCCUGGUCUAAAGAAUCAUUCAUGCUGAGAUUGUAAAACUCCGUCCAGAAGGAUACUCAAGAAACAGGUCAAGCUGGGAAUGCAGCUCAGUGGUAGAGCACUUGUCUAGCAUGUGCAAGUCCCUAGGUUAAAUCCCAGCCACCCCCUCCACACACACACACACACACGAUAUAGAUUAACAGUGGUUCCCCAUAUAGUGGGGUGCCAGAGACCAUGAUGCACAGGUAUUCGAGAUCAUGACUUCCCCUGUGUAUACUUCUGAACCAUUUUGUACUGAAUUUUUACCAAGUGCAUGUAUUAAUUAUUUUAUAAAAAAGAAGAACUAUUACUUGAUUGGGCCAUAAUUAUUGAGUGCCCUUCUCUUGAUUGUUAGAGAAAGAAAUUUAAAGGAGAGAAGAAACAGAAUCUGUCACUGCGUCUGGUGCCUGCAGUCUGUGAACCCGUCUAGCCUUCCUCCAGACCCCACUUUCUCAAACUCAGUCUCACCCCUGUCAUGGACCAGGGCCUUCUUGCUCCUGAGGACUGUCUUAGGCAUGGUAGGGUUUUGAGCAGCAUCCCAGAAUGUUCUUGGAGAUUCCCCUUAUCCUUUAUCCACUCCUGGGUCCCUUCAGCCCCCAGGAGCCUUCUGGUAUGGCUUCGACUAGCAUUCUGUGUUUUCUGUACUCAUCCUGCCUUUCUGGAUAAGUUGUAUUCUGCUUUCCAGGACAGAAGCAGCUUCAGUGAGAACUGGAUUGCUGUGAACACACAGAAGCAUUUUCUAGGCGCUAAAGGACACUCACUAUAUAGCAGCUGGACACAACAGGCCCAGGAAGCGCUCAUCAGCACGGUGGCUGUGGUCCCUUCCAUAGCCACAGGUAGCAGAGUCAAGUUAUUAAACUCUCCACAAGUGAGAGUAGCAGAAAAAAAAAUGGCAUAAGAAUCAAAACCUGCCCACUUCAAGUCCUUGAGGUAGUUUUGACUCAGGGCAAAGUGGCAAAGUCAAUAAAGUCAGCCAAGGAAGUUAGUAUCUGUAAGAAUCUGGGUUUUGAAGCCAGGUUGCCUGGAUUGAUAGCCUUAUUCUGCUACUUCCUGCCUGUGUGAUCUCAAACAAAUUACUGAACCUCUCUGAGCCUGAGGAGCUACAAUGAUGAAUUAGAGAUAAUAACAGAGACCUCUUCCUAGUAUCAUUAAAUCAACAGAGAUAGUGCAUACGGAGUUCUUAACACAAAGACCGAAACAUUGUAACUCUGUGUUACAUGAUUUCUGUUGUUUUUAUUUUAUUGUAAAUCAAUAAAUAAAAUACUAACUACCUUACCGUGGUGCAUGAACCUAUAAGUGGAGUCCCAUAGAAAUUUGUACAAAUUCCAGUUUGAAGGCAAAAGGACUGGAAAAUUGAAUGAGAAGUUUCUGGUCACUUACAUAAUAUCCACACAACACACACACACACACACACACACACCCAUAUUGUAAAAUAAAAGGUUCUUUUAAAAACAAAUUUUAAUGGUGUUUUAGCGCAUGUGAACAGCUAAGGCACGAUUGUUCUGUUCUUGGUUUCGGCUGUUUUCCAACUAUGGUGUUUUUCUCAUUGAUCAGACAGAAAUCCCCAAGGUCUGGCAAAGGAAGCUUUUAAUUGCUCUGGAUGGACCAAUUUUUGGCUUAGCUGCUCAAGCACAUAAUUGGGAGAGAAAGAGAGAGAGAGAGAGAAACUAAAUCAUUUUGAGAUUGCUUUAAGACAAAUAUACAGUCAGACAUCCCUUUACCUGACCAAACCUCAAAAUUUUCCCACAAGCUCUGGGAACAGAGAGAGUAGGUAGUACAUCACCAGAGAUCAGAGAGUGAAGAUCAUUUUGCUGAUCUUUAUCAAAAUGAAAAUAAGAGUGAUCAUAAUUAUCAUUCUCCUGUUAUAGGUGGGGCUUCCCCAGAAGCAGACUGAGACCAGGAUUCUGGUCAAUCCACUUUAUUUAGAGGGGAUCCUGGAAUCACUAGGAGGGGAGACAGAGAAUGGAGGACAGCCGGGAAAGGUGUAGGAUUGAGUAAACUAUGGCUGAGGCCACUGGAGCUCCAUCCCCCCAGGGGACCUUGGGAGCCAGUGCAAAAUAGACACCUCAGCAGCAUCUCAUCCAGCCACAAGGGAACUGGGGAAUUUGUACCCCAAGUCCCAUCUGAUAUUGGCUAAGAGCAGUCUGUUCCCGGGGUGUAUCACGGCCCGGCACUUCCAGCCAUCCCCAGUGCAGGCAGCCAGAGGAAACCCUGGGGCAAAGUCACAGAAGCUUGCAGCUGGGAAUCAGGCAUUCUGGAAAAACACCAACAGCAUCUGCUUCAACAUCCAAAUAUAAGACAACCCCAAAAUAGGAAGAUUCCCUGCUUCCCCACUUAAAAGAUCCAAAGGAUUUGUGACCUAAUGGAAUACAUAAUCUUUUCUAAAGCAGAUGAAAUGGUUAAAAAAAAAAUCUCCUUAUAGCCUUUAUGACCUGCCCUAUAUGCUUAUAAUCACGUUAUGUGCGAUGAUAACAUUAAUUUAGAAAAAGUCGCUUUCUUUGCACUCAAUCGAUGUUAUUCCAACUCUUCCAGCUCAUCUUUUCUCAUCAUUGAAGGCACCUUUUGAGUCAUUUUUGUUUCCCCCAGCACAUUUUCUUCCCUCCCUUCCCCAUUCUUGGUGAUACAGCAUUUUUGGAAUCUGUAGGAUGCUUUUGCUGGAAUUUUUAUCCCAAGCCUCAAGCACCUAUUUGCAUAACAUUAGGGCAGCUGGCUGUCCCAUUCAGCACCGAGGUGCCAAAGCUUGAUCUCCAUAAUGUAACCACCCAGGGUAAGGCUUUCUUAAGUGUCCUUAAAAGACUUGUUCACACUCCAGUGCAGCCUCGUGGAGCCGCCACGCCCUUCAGAAUCCAUUCCAAAUCUGGUUCAAUUUCCUAGCCUCCUAUCUCAGCCUGUUUGUGCUAUUGUAACAAAAUGCUCCAGGCUGGAAAGAGCAGAAACUAAUUCCCUUACAGUUCAGGAGGCUGGAAGUCCAAGAUCAAGGUGCUGGAGAGGGCCUUCUCUCUGUGCUUUCAAGAUGGUGCCUGACUGCUGUGUCUCCAGAAGGGAAAAAUGCUGUGUCCUCACUUGGAAUAUGGGCUCUUAGCGUGUGUGUGUGUGUGUGUGUGUGUGUUUUUUUCCUGGGGAUUGAAGGGAGGGGUGUGCUACCACUGGGCUAGAUCCCCAGCCUCUUAUUUAUUUAUUUUUUAUUUUGAGAUAGGGUUUUGCUGAGGCUGACCUCAAACUUGCAAUCCUCCUGCCCCAGCCUCCCAAGUCACUGGGAUUACAGGCAUGCGCCACUGUGCCCACCCUUCCAGCUCUUUCAUAUAAGCACUAAUCCAUUCAUGAAGGUGGGGGAGGCCCCACCUGUUACUACCAACACAGUGGUGGUAAGUUUCAAUAGAAACUUUAGAGGGGACACCUUCAAACUCUAAUACCUCCUUUUGAGCAGUUUCUUCAGAUGACCUUGGUUAAUGGCCAGAAUCACCUCUGAUGGAGAUUGUUUCAGGUAACACAUCCCUCCCAUACCUCACUAGGUUGUUCAAAAUAAAAUACUUGAGAGCCCCCCACAACAUGAAAGAGUGCAUGAGGUUUCUAUUGAAAACAGAGGCUCUUUCCCCAGGGAACUUCUGAGAAGCCUGGAACGUCACCGUAUAUCCCUGCCGACUAGUUCUUCUGGCAGUCAUCUUAAUCCUCACAACCAACCCAGGAAGUGGAUUAGAGCAUCAUUCCCAUUUUACAGAUGGAGAAAUGGAGGCUUUGAAGCAGCUCAAAGAGCAGUGGAAUGACAGUGGUGGGUGUGUCUUUGAGGUGUGCAUACCCCCUCCACCAUGCUGCUGUCCCUUGGGAAAGGGCUGUGCUCAUGGACUUGGAUGGUAGACUCCUAGGGCAGCAAAGUGCCAGCCAGCUCAGCAGCCUUCACAGGGUCCUCUCUCUACUCCUCUCGCUUUGCUGAGCUAGAGAAGCAAGAGGCAAUCACCAUUACUCCAGCUGAAAACCUCUACAAGGAAAUGAAAGUCCCCCCUCAAGGGAACUUCUAAAAACUGUAACUAAGUCCAUUUCAAAUGGGCAAAUAAAUGUCUACAAAGGAUUUUUUAAAUAAAAC